rnacentral:rRNA from 1 species
CGGGGGGGGGGGGGUGCGUAGUACUGCAAUCGAACGCGGUGGCCCAAUUGAUUGAUGGUGCUUGCACCUGACUGAUUUGGUCGCCAACGAGUGGCGGACGGGUGAGUAGCCCGUAAGUAACCUGCCCAGAAGCGGGGGACAACAUUUGGAAACAGAUGCUAAUACCGCAUAACAGCGUUGUUCCCAUGAACAACGCUUAAAAGAUGGCUUCUCGCUAUCACUUCUGGAUGGACCUGCGGUGCAUUAGCUUGUUGGUGGGGUAAUGGCCUACCAAGGCGAUGAUGCAUAGCCGAGUUGAGAGACUGAUCGGCCACAAUGGGACUGAGACACGGCCCAUACUCCUACGGGAGGCAGCAGUAGGGAAUCUUCCACAAUGGGCGCAAGCCUGAUGGAGCAACACCGCGUGAGUGAAGAAGGGUUUCGGCUCGUAAAGCUCUGUUGUUAAAGAAGAACACGUAUGAGAGUAACUGUUCAUACGUUGACGGUAUUUAACCAGAAAGUCACGGCUAACUACGUGCCAGCAGCCGCGGUAAUCACA